rnacentral:rRNA from 1 species
AAUCAACGCUGGCGGCGUGCCUCAGACAUGCAAGUCGAACGCGAAAGCCCCCGUCGGGGGACAAGUAGAGUGGCGCACGGGUGAGUAACACGUAGGUAAUCUACCUUCGGGUGGGGAAUAACAAUCGGAAACGGUUGCUAAUACCGCAUAAUGCAGCGGCACCUAAUGGUGACAGUUGUUAAAGCGGGGGAUCGCAAGAUCUCGCGCCUGAAGAGGAGCCUGCGGCGGAUUAGCAGUUGGUAGGGUAAUGGCCUACCAAGGCGACGAUCCGUAGCCGGCCUGAGAGGGCGGUCGGCCACACUGACACUGACAUACGGGUCAGACUCCUACGGGAGGCAGCAGUCGGGAAUUUUGGGCAAUGGGCGAAAGCCUGA